rnacentral:rRNA from 1 species
GACGAACGCUGGCGGCGUGCCUAAUACAUGCAAGUCGAGCGCGUGUAGCAAUACACGAGCGGCGGACGGGUGAGUAACGCGUGGGCAACCUGCCCUCUAGCCUGGGAUAACAGCGCGAAAGUGCUGCUAACACCGGAUAUGCUCACUAGGGAGACAUCUCCCGGUGAGGAAAGUUUACACUAGAGGAUGGGCCCGCGUCCCAUUAGCUAGUUGGUGAGGUAACGGCCCACCAAGGCGACGAUGGGUAGCCGACCUGAGAGGGUGAUCGGCCACACUGGGACUGAGACACGGCCCAGACUCCUACGGGAGGCAGCAGUAGGGAAUUUUCCGCAAUGGGCGCAAGCCUGACGGAGCAACGCCGCGUGAGGGAUGAAGGUUUUCGGAUCGUAAACCUCCGUCUUCAGGGACGAUAAUGACGGUACCUGAGGAGGAAGCCACGGCUAACUACGUG